rnacentral:lncRNA from 1 species
CGAGCGCGAGCCUGGAGGAGGGGGAGGAGAAGGGGCGGAGCAGUCGGUGGGCGCGGCGGCUGCUGGAGGCUAGCGCGACCCGACUCUUAAGUUUUCUUUUCCUCUCCAGAGGGGCCGAUUAGGGAGAGAGACCAGAAAUGAGUGGAAUGCUAUCUUAAGCCAAAAAAAACUAUUAUAAUUUUUAUUUAGUACUACUUAAAUGAAGAAAGAUAAAAAAAGAAACAAAAUUCCAAUUGAUAAUUAUCCCAUUCAGACAUUAGUGAAUAUGUCACUCAAUCCAAGUCGACCUUCCUCAUCAGAGUUGGUGGAACUUCAUGUUUUUUAUGUCCCUGAAGGAUCAUGGAACUAUAAGCUAAAUACCAUUUCAACAGAAGUUGUUAACAAAUUCAUUUCAGCUGGAUUUCUAAGAGUAUCUCCUCAACUUACUUUACGAGCCCUGAGGGAGCGUCUUGGUGAGUUCCUGGGUGAAGAUGCUAUUGCAGAAAAAUUUUUAUUUCUGAAAUGCAUUGGAAAUAAUUUAGCUGUGGUGAAGGAAAAGCAAGAAUCAGAACUGAAACUCAAAUCAUUUGCUCCUCCAUAUGCUCUUCAACCAGAAUUAUAUUUGCUUCCUGUAAUGGACCAUUUAGGAAAUGUUUAUUCACCAUCAACAGUUAUUUUAGAUGAGCGGCAGACUAAUAAUGGUGUUAAUGAGGCUGAUGGAACAAUCCACAGACCAAUUAGUGUAACUUUGUUCAAGGAGGAACUUGGAAGAGAUCCCAGUUUGUUAGAAAACACUUUGAAAGAGCUUCCUAACAAGAAUCAGGAAGAAGGUGAUUUUAAACUGGAAUGGGAAAAAGAAAGAGGCUAUUAUAGUACAUUUUAGCAGUCAAGUCUGUAAGCAAACCCUGAGCAAACCUAGCCUUACAAAUAUAGGCAGUUUAAAAAGAAAGCUACAAUUCCACUUGGGGAUUUCUAAAAAAAUAUUUUUGCCAGAUGGGAGGAAAAGAAAACAAUUUAAGUACUAUGUUAAAAUAAAAACAAAAUCAAAAUAGUUACAGCACUUAAAUGAACAUUACCACCUUUACUUCUUUUUUAAUAAAAUAGUUUUAGAUAAAAGUAAAGCUACAGGGGAAGAGAAAGGAAAGGUGACUGCAUAAAACUUUGGUAUUACUCAGAGACCAGAGGGAUCAGGAAAACAGUAUCAAACCAAGACAGACAACAACAACAAAAAAACUUUAAUGUUGGGGAACAUACGUAUUUCAGAGAAUUUUAAAUUUUUUAUCUGAUUACACCUAUCAAUUUACUAAUAAUUACUAAUAACUCAAUUCUUCAAAAGUGAUAGGGGCCAGGAGUGGUGGCUUAUAUCUGUAAUAAGCAUUUUAGGAGGCCAAGGUGGGUGGAUCAUUUGAGCCCAGGAGUUUGAGACCAGCUUGGGCAACAUGGCAAGACCCUGUCUCUACGAAAAAACACAAAAGUUAGCCAGGUCUGGUGGCACAUGCCUGUAGUCCCAGCUACUCAGGAGACUGAAGCAGGAGGAUUGCUUGAGCCAGGGACGGGGAGGUUGCAGUGAGCUGAGAUGGCACCAUCACCCUCCAGUCUGGGUGACAGAGCGAGACUUUGUCUCAAAAAAAAAAAAAAAAAAAAA